GAUGAACGCUGGCGGCGUGCCUAAUACAUGCAAGUCGAGCGAACAGACGAGGCGCUUGCUCCUCUGACGUUAGCGGCGGACGGGUGAGUAACACGUGGAUAACCUACCUAUAAGACUGGGAUAACUUCGGGAAACCGGAGCUAAUACCGGAUAAUAUAUUGAACCGCAUGGUUCAAUAGUGAAAGACGGUUUUGCUGUCACUUAUAGAUGGAUCCGCGCCGCAUUAGCUAGUUGGUAAGGUAACGGCUUACCAAGGCAACGAUGCGUAGCCGACCUGAGAGGGUGAUCGGCCACCCUGGAACUGAGACACGGUCCAGACGACUACGGGAGGCAGCAGUAGGGAAUCUUACGCAAUGGGCGAAAGCCUGACGGAGCAACGCCGCGUGAGUGAUGAAGGUCUUCGGAUCGUAAAACUCUGUUAUUAGGGAAGAACAAAUGUGUAAGUAACUAUGCACGUCUUGACGGUACCGAAUCAGAAAGCCACGGCUAACUACGUG
rnacentral:rRNA from 1 species